rnacentral:lncRNA from 1 species
AUUCUUUCCACCCUGGAUGAAGAGAAGCCACUGUGGAUAUUAAUCAGUAGUAUUUGCUCCCUGGUCUGUUAUCUGAGUCUUUUGGGGUGCUCAGUGAUUACAGCAGGCCAGCUCUAGAUCCAGAUCUCCUCCCCACCUACAGGUCAUUGGAUAUGUAUUGCUUAGAAAGGCUCUUGACAAGGCAGACAGGACAUCCAGAUAAUGAUCACCUUGAAGAACGUUUGGAUUUUUCCUUUCCUAGCCUGAGGGUGAGGUUGCUGGAACUGAUUAUUAUUUCCAAUGUUAACGUCUAAAAAAAAGGUACAUGCAUAUUUGCUAAGUACUAUGAUUAUUUAUUGUGCUGAGUGGAGAUAGUACUUCCUUCUCCUCACUUUUACUAUUUCACUGGCCCAAGAUAUCCUGUAAAGAAUUGUAGCACUUCCUCUUUGUGUCUGCGCACACGUGGGACUUAGACUUUCUAUCUUGUGACACAGUAGACAGCAGUGGUUGAAAUCCCCCCCUUACUGAGUGUUAUGUGAUAAUUCUGGAUAUGACAGGGGAUUA